GGCAGUCCUCAGGUGAUGCACCCGGGAAUCAGGCUCCCUCCUCUCUGGUUCCCAGGUGUGUCACCUGAAAACUGAC
rfam:Myotis brandtii contig239419, whole genome shotgun sequence.